ACCAAUCCCUUAGCACCUGUACCGAAUGGUCCUCUUUCUCUCUUUAUGAUGUCUCUUCCGGGCCCCAACACAAACCAAGAAACCUAUUUCUGGUCCUCUCUAAAACCAAACGUAAAAAAGCAGACCGGACUGCUGUUUUGUCUGUCACAGAACUGAAAAGAUAGCCGUCGGGAGAGAAGAUGUGGAGAUUAUAAAGCCCAGAACGGACAAAAGAGAGUAUUGGAGAAUCGUCCUUAGAAAUUCCCUUCAAGUCCUCCUCAUCAGUGAUCCCGACACCGAUAAGUGUGCUGCUUCUAUGAGUGUGGGUGUUGGUUCCUUCUGUGACACCGUCGGCCUUGAAGGCCUUGCCCAUUUUCUUGCAUGGAGGCAGCACAAAUGCCUUCACAGCUUCUGAGUGGACCGACUAUUAUUUUGAUGUUAACAGCAAUUGCUUAGAAGAGGCUCUGGACUGCUUCAGAAACAUCUAAGCUUGGACAGUCAUUCAUUUCAUAAAUUCAGCACAGGUUAAAACCUUUUCUUAUUUGAUCUUCUCUCCCUCCUUCACCUGCAUUCCCUUCUGUCUUAAAUCUUCUCUUUAGUUGAAUUCAUUGACUAAGCAGGCCAUAGGCCAUGCAUUCUGCUUCAUAGUUAGUCAAUUAACCUAGUGAUAUUGGAGAUAAAUUAUCAAAAACUGAAUGAAAAGGUCUGCAAUAUUAAUUUGAUGAUGAAUGAUUUAGCACUUCUACAGUUUCGAUUUUUUCCAAGACUUUGUCUGAAUAUCUUUGCUUCUGAGAUACUUGUUCUCCUUUUAGACAGAUGCUAAGAUUUUUCUACUCUUUUCUGGACUUCUUGGAUAGAUUUUAUUUCAGUGCUUAAGUACUAUACUUCAUUUUCGAGUACUCUCUUGUUUUUUAUAUGCCUUCGAUAUGCAAGGAUGGGACACUGAAAUAGAUUUUAGUUUUGAGAUACUGAUGAUCUAUUCUUUCUCUCUCAGAUAGUUUCUUUGGUGAUUUUAUCUUUUGUUCUUUUAUUUUGUUGGAUGAUACAGUCUAAAUCAAUAGUUUCAUAAAUUUAAUAUGAAAAAUAGCCUUAUAAAUUUAAAUUAAUUAAAAUUUAUGGUUGAAAAGAUUCAAUUAUAGCUUUUAAAGUCAAGUCACUAGAUCUUAAAAACUAUAUAAUUCAUGUACCAUCAAAA